UGGGGAAUUUUGGACAAUGGGGGAAACCCUGAUCCAGCCAUCCCGCGUGUGCGAUGAAGGCCUUCGGGUUGUAAAGCACUUUUGGCAGGAAAGAAACGUCAUGGGUUAAUACCCCGUGAAACUGACGGUACCUGCAGAAUAAGCACCGGCUAACUACGUGCCAGCAGCCGCGGUAAUACGUAGGGUGCAAGCGUUAAUCGGAAUUACUGGGCGUAAAGCGUGCGCAGGCGGUUCGGAAAGAAAGAUGUGAAAUCCCAGGGCUCAACUUUGGAACUGCAUUUUUAACUACCGGGCUAGAGUGUGUCAGAGGGAGGUGGAAUUCCGCGUGUAGCAGUGAAAUGCGUGGAUAUGCGGAGGAACACCGAUGGCGAAGGCAGCCUCCUGGGAUAACACUGACGCUCAUGCACGAAAGCGUGGGGAGCAAACAGG
rnacentral:rRNA from 1 species